GCUUUUACAGUAUGAAAAUUGGUGAUUUAUAAUAACUUAGCAAAUCGCAAAGUGAAAACAGGCGAUAAAUCAUUCAAGUUUCUGACCUAUCAGCUUUCGACGGUAUGGUAUUGGCUUACCGUGGCAGUGACGGUUAACGGGGGAUUAGGGUUCGAUUCCGGAGAGGGAGCCUGAGAAACGGCUACCACAUCUAAGGAAGGCAGCAGGCGCGCAAAUUACCCAAUUCUAACAGUUUGAGAGAGGUAGUAACAAGAAAUAACAAUACAAGGCAGUUAAAAUGCUUUGUAAUUGGAAUGAUAGAAAUUUAAACCCUUUUUAAAGUAUCAAUUGGAGGGCAAGUCUGGUGCCAGCAGCCGCGGUAAUUCCAGCUCCAAUAGCGUAUAUUAAAAUUGUUGCAGUUAAAAAGCUCGUAGUUGAAGUUCUGCUGAAAGUAACCGGUCUGCUUUUAAUAAAAGUGGUAUCUUGGUAUGUAUUUAGCAAUGAUGUCCUUUGAAGUGUUUUUUACUUUAUUGUAAUAAAGCAUAUUCAGGACUUUUACUUUGAGAAAAUUAGAGUGUUUCUAGCAGGCUGACGCUUUGAAUACUGCAGCAA
rnacentral:rRNA from 1 species